UGGGGAAUAUUGCGCAAUGGACGAAAGUCUGACGCAGCGACGCCGCGUGAGGGAUGAAGGUUUUCGGAUCGUAAACCUCUGUCAGGAGGGAAGAAAGCGUAUGGCGCCAAUCAGCCAUGCGUUGACGGUACCUCCAAAGGAAGCGCCGGCUAACUCCGUGCC
rnacentral:rRNA from 1 species